GGGGCUGUGGCCUAGCCAGGCAGGGCGACGGGCUCCAGACCCGUCGAUCGUGUGUUCAAAUCACACCAGCCCCA
rnacentral:tRNA from 1 species